GACGAACGCUGGCGGCGUGCCUAAUACAUGCAAGUAGAACGCAGUUGCGAACGGGUGAGUAACGCGUAGGUAACUGCCUCAUAGCGGGGGAUAACUAUUGGAAACGAUAGCUAAUACCGCAUACUGUGAGAUGGACCUGCGUUGUAUUAGCUAGUUGGUGGGGUAAAGGCGCACCAAGGCGACGAUACAUAGCCGACCUGAGAGGGUGAUCGGCCACACUGGGAAGGCGACACGGCCCAGACUCCUACGGGAGGCAGCAGUAGGGAACUUUCGGGAAGGGACGGAAGCCUGAACGAGCAAAGCGGCGUGAGUGAAGAAGGUUUUCGGAUCGGAAAGCUCUGUUGGUAGAGAAGCGGUAACGAACCAGAAAGGGCCGGCUAACUACGUGCCAGCCGCCGCGGUAAUAA
rnacentral:rRNA from 1 species